UUGGAGGGCAAGUCUGGUGCCAGCAGCCGCCGUAAUUCCAGCUCCAAUAGCGUAUAUUAAAGUUGUUGCAGUUAAAAAGCUCGUAGUUGAAUUUCGGGGUUCUACCGUUGGUCGGGCAAUUGUCUGUACUGGCGUGUAAAAUUUCAACCUUCUGGGGAACCAUCAUGUUAUUAAUUUAGCGUGGUGGGAAACCAGGACCUUUACCUUGAAAAAAUUAGAGUGUUCAAAGCAGGCUUACGUCUGAAUACAUUAGCAUGGAAUAAUAAAAUAGGACGAUGGUCCUGUUUUGUUGGUUUCUGAAUCACCGUAAUGAUUAAUAGGGAUAGAUGGGGGCAUUAGUAUUCAAUUGUCAGAGGUUAAAUUCUUGGAUUUAUUGAAGACUAACUUCUGCGCAAGCAUUUGCCAAGGAUGUUUUCAUUAAUCAAGAACGAAAGUUAGGCGAUCGAAGACGAUCAGAUACCGUCGUAGUCUUAACCAUAAACUAUGCCGACUAGGGCUCGGACGAUGUUAAUUUUUCUUGACUCGUUCGGCGCCUUACGGGAAAC
rnacentral:rRNA from 1 species